GAUGAACGCUGGCGGCGUGCUUAACACAUGCAAGUCGAACGGUGAAAGAGGGAGCUUGCUCCUUCUGGAUCAGUGGCGAACGGGUGAGUAACACGUGAGUAACCUGCCCUUGACUCUGGGAUAAGCGUUGGAAACGACGUCUAAUACCGGAUACGAGCUUCAGCCGCAUGGCUAGGAGCUGGAAAGAACUUCGGUCAAGGAUGGACUCGCGGCCUAUCAGCUUGUUGGUGAGGUAAUGGCUCACCAAGGCGACGACGGGUAGCCGGCCUGAGAGGGUAACGGGCCACACUGGGACAGAGACACGGCCCAGACUCCUACGGGAGGCAGCAGUGGAGAAUAUUGCACAAUGGGCGCAAUCCUGAUGCAGCAACGCCGCGUGAGGGACGACGGCCUUCGGGUUGUAAACCUCUUUUAGUAGGGAAGAAGCGAAAGUGACGGUACCUGCAGAAAAAGCACCGGCUAACUACGUGCCAGCAGCCGCAGUAACAC
rnacentral:rRNA from 1 species